AAACUUCUAUCAGGACAAACAUCACCCAGACUGAUGUGGUUGGUCAUUAAAUGGGACUGCCAGUACCAACCCCUCCAGUCCCGGUCCUAUCAGUGAAGUAGGGGAGACAGAUGGCCAGACGGUGGCAGGGGAUGCAGCUGACCACCCCCCUGACCAUGAGACCAUGCAUGAGGGGGAGAUGAUACCUGUGGACUGGAAGUGGCUGGUUCUAGACGGUCCAGUGGAU